GGUUGCGAUCAUACCAGCACUAAUGCAUCGGAUCCCAUCAGAACUCCGCAGUUAAGCGUGCUUGGGUGAGAGUAGUACUAGGAUGGGUGACCCCCUCGGAAGUCCUCGUGUUGCAACCC
rnacentral:rRNA from 1 species